CCAAGCGCGCGCCCUUCGACAUGUUUGACCAGCGCAAGAAGCCCAACAACAUCAAGCUGUACGUGCGCCGUGUGUUCAUCAUGGACAACUGCGAGGACCUCAUCCCCGAGUGGCUCAACUUCGUCAAGGGCAUUGUGGACAGCGAGGACCUGCCGCUCAACAUCUCGCGCGAGACGCUGCAGCAGAACAAGAUCCUGAAGGUGUGUGGGUGUGUCUGGGGGUUGGAUCGGGGGGAGAGGCAAUGGAAGUUUGCUUUAGUCCGGCGGCGGUUAGUGUGCAACUUUCUCGUCUCAUUCUGAGCACUGGGCCCUUACCGCGCCCUCUUCCUUCCCGACUGUGGUAUCGCUCCACAGGUGAUCAAGAAGAACAUUGUGAAGAAGUGCCUGGAGCUGUUUGCCGAGGUGGCGGAGAACAAGGACGACUACAACAAGUUCUACGAGUCGUUCGGCAAGAACCUGAAGCUGGGCGUGCACGAGGACAGCCAGAACCGCGCCAAGCUGGCGGACCUGCUGCGCUACCACUCAACCAAGAGCGGCGAGGAGACCACCAGCCUCAAGGACUACGUGACCCGCAUGAAGGAGGGCCAGAAGGCCAUCUACUACAUCACCGGCGAGAGUCGCAAGGCGGUGGAGAACUCGCCCUUC
rnacentral:lncRNA from 1 species